CCUGGUCCGCUGGAGGGGCUACGCGCACCGUGCCGCCUCGCCCUGCGAAUCCCAGGGACCCCAGUGCGGUAUAAGCGCGGGAAGCAGGCGAGGGACCCGUUAGACGUGGAGUGGGGACGGAGUGGGGGGCGACAGACUGGGCUGGGAAAUUGCUAACCUGUCCCCGGAGACUGCUUUCUGAGAGCCCUGUCCCUUCCCCGGAAGAGGCCAAUUCCAGAGGGAGAUGACAGCAGGCGCCCGCCCCGGACAAUCUGAUUCUGGGCAGGGCGCAGCGGGGCUGGCAGGCGCCCGGGGAGGCAGGGAAGUUGCUUCCAAGGACUGGCCGCCCUCAACCUCCUUUAACACACAGCCGGGUGCAGCAGGGCAGCGGCGGACAUUUGUUUCCCAACUCUGGUCAAUGUGAAAGCAGCAACCCGUGCGUCCUGGACCCCAAGGUGGCUGUGUACCGUCGAGGUUUCUAACACUGCUUCCUUGGCAAAAGCGAUAACAAUACCGUGUAUCGGGAUGAGACUAAAGCCAGACGGCAACAACACAGCACACUUUCCCGGGCAGCGCCAGUGCGAGGUGCUUUGAAAGCACACGAGGCAACCCCGGAGGCCGAAGUGGAAGGGUCUCGCCCCGUGGGGCUGCUACCCUGUCUCAUCAUCGCUCCUUGGAGCCCUCCACUGACGGCACCAUCAGAUCGCCUCUCGCACACCGCUCUGCUAUGGCUUAGAUCCUCAGAGCUCUUCAGCAUAUUCUGCAUCUUCCCUCUAACUUGGAAAAAAAAGUUGUGAAAUGGGAUCCUGCCUUCAUAAUUCUGAAGGUUCCUUUCUACACUUUAUAUCUCGUGGCAGACAAUAUGUAUAACUCUACUGCACAUGUCCAAAGGCAC
rnacentral:lncRNA from 1 species